rnacentral:tRNA from 1 species
UCUAACAAUAGAAGUGCAAAUCUUCCUAUUUACC